rnacentral:lncRNA from 1 species
AUUCACAUAUACUUAAGAAUUCGUAAAAAAAAAAUGAAUGAGUGAACACGGAAUUGAUCCAAAAAUGGGCCCCAUCAUAGAAGAGUGCACAUUGACCAAGUUAUCAAUUUCGUAUUUUUAUUUUUAUUUUUUUUGAUUAAUCACAUAGUGUCCUAAAAAAAGCCUUUGGGCCCAUCCAGACUAAUCUCUGUGCCCUAAGCAGCUAGCCCUUCACACCUCAGGAUGUAAACACGGAUAUGCGACGCAGCCACCAGGAUUCGAACGCGAUACCUCCGAGUGUUAGCUCGUGUACCUGACGUCCGCCCGAAACGACUGCGCCUUGUGCCCGGGGGAAGAGGUGAGAAUCGAAUCCUGAACCGUAAGUCCUGAUAAGGCCGCGCUUAUCACUUUGGCUAAGCCUUGUAUUUUUUAUAUUUUAUUUUACGCUUACUAUCAGUUUGGUUAUAAAUAGGGAAUCCCAAAAUCUUACUAUAUUGUACAACUCGAUAAAAUGGGUUCCAGGAAGUUGCUUGUUUUGGAGAUCUUUCUCUUGACACUUAUCCUUCUCUUGGCUUUUGAAGUGGCUGCAAGGGAACUGCUUGACGUCACAGGUAAGUUUCAAUCUGGAUUCUUGCUUUUGGGAACUGCUUUGGCUUUAGGUUGGUCAGUCGUAUUGGCUUUUGGAUUCUAACCGUUCAUAUGUAGGAUUUUCUGAAAAAUUAUAUAACGAUUUCUGAAAAAACUUUAAUUCUAUAAAAAUUUAUUUUAAUAGAAUUCAAAUCAAUCGUUAAUAUUAAUUUAUAUCAAGAUAAAUAAGUUCAAAAUAGAACCCUAAAUGUUGAACUGAACUUAUCUACAAUAUGAACGGUUUGUGUCAUUAAAUGAACUCAAAAUAAAACUCAAAAUUUUUUGAGUUGCACCCAUACAACUUCAGAGAAGCCAGAUCCAUAUUAUAUAUAUGAACAUAAGAAUCUUGAUAUAUUAUCUUUUGGAAAGAGUUUUACUAGAGACAAUGAACAGUGGAUGGAUAAUGCAAAUUCACAUGUGGUGGUACCCACGUGUUUAUUAGCUCAUUGCCAAUGCACUGAACAAAAUAUAUAUUUUUUAUUUUUUUUAUUUUGAAAAUCAUGUCCAAUGUUCUCUUCUACUUUUUAUAUUUCGUGUUUGAUUGGCAACUAGAAAUGGUUAUAAGUUUAUAACACACAUAAUACUGUUCAUGCUUGGUAAUGUUAGAUUUUGUUAAAGUGUUUUUUGGAAAAGCAACCCUUGAAGUAUUUCUGAAAAUAUGCUUAAAUCGACCCUUCAAAAGAAAAAACAAAAGCAUUAAGUAAUUUUUUAAAGGUUUUCCAAAUAUUCACGUACAACGUUUUUCUAGAUAAAAAUUGACAAAAAGCUUCUAGAAAUUUUUCAAAACAUGCUCACUAUAUUCCAAAAGUGUGAAAUAUAAUAUAUCACACGAUUACACUCCCAUGGUAUAUUAUAUCCCCACCAGCAAACAUGGCCCCCUCUCAAUAUUCAUUCAAUGGCUAUGACCAAUCCUUUUUUUCUUAUCCCAAGCCAUAUCCUGAUAUCCUAACCCAAACAAACAUAGUAUAUGUAUUAUUACUUUUUNNNNNNNNNNNNNNNNNNNNNNNNNNNNNNNNNNNNNNNNNNNNNNNNNNNNNNNNNNNNNNNNNNNNNNNNNNNNNNNNNNNNNNNNNNNNNNNNNNNNAAUUCUUUACACUCUUUUAGUAUUUAAGGGAAAAGAUCUUUAAUAAAUUUGGCAGCCCAAUGCUGUAGCAUUAACAUCUAUCAUGUCCCUCUCUCCCAUCUUUAAAAUCUUUCAGUAUUUUAAAAAGACAUCUAUAUUAACCUUGUCAUUGGUCCGAAAAGUUGUGUUGCAUUAAAGCCUAUCAUGUCCUCUAUCUCCAUCUUUACAAUCUUUAGAAUUUCAGGAAAAAAUCCUUCAAUAAAUUUGGAAUUAGCCCAAUGUCGUGUAGCAUUAAAAUCUAUCAUGUCCCUCUCUCCCAACUUUAAAAUCUUUCGAUAUUUUAAAAACAUCCCUAUUAAAACUGGGCAUGGUUCAACAAAAAUCGGUGUAGCCAUUAAAUUCGGAUCAUGUUCACUUCUUCCCAUCUUUAUAAUCUUUUAGAUAUUUAAGGAAAGAUCCUUAAUAAAAUUGGCCAUUGGUCCAAAGUUGUGUUGCAUUAAAGCUAUCAUGCCCUUCUCUCCCAUCUUAACAAUCUUUUAGAUAUUUCAACGGAAAGAUCCUUAUUAAAUUUGGCAUUAGGCCCAAUGUCGUGUAGCAUUAAAAUCCUAUCAUGUCCCUCUCUCCCAUCUUUAAAAUAUUUUAAAUAUUUUAAGAAAACAUCCCUACUAAACUUGGCAUUGGUCCAAAAUCAUGUAGCAUUAAAUCCUAUCCUGUCACUUUCUCCCAUCUUUGAAAUCUCCCACGUAUUUUAUAGAAACAACCCUAAUAAACUUGGCAGUGAUUAGAAGAAGUCUGUAGCAUUAAAGUGUAUCAUAUCCAUCUCUUUUAAAGUAUAAUUUAUUUAUUUAUUUAUUUUAUUAAUUAAUUUAGUUAUCAAGUGUUACAUGGUGGGAGGUCUCAAAUUACUAUUUGUGGCUGAAGAUGGUACCUAGUGAUUCAAAACAUUGACCCAUGCCGAUGCCGUGAAUUGACUGCAAACGGAGGCCAAUUACCCACGUCCCACGUUAUCUUAGUCUUGGGACAUUUCUCAUCUAAACUAAAAAAUUGGAAUUUAAAUGGUGGAAAUUGUUUAUUAAAAAAAAUAAAUUUUUGGCCAAUUUUAUUAAAACGUUCAUUAAAAAAUAAAAGAUCUAGUAAAAAAGCCAAAAUUUUGGAGAUUUGUUAGGAAAAUAAUUUUGGGCCAAUUUUGAAGAAAAAUAAAAGAGUAAUCCUACAUCUUUUGAAGCCAGUCUAGUUGGAUAUGCUUAACUUAGUGAGGUGAUUAAUAUCUGAUAAUUUUUUUAUUCAAAAUCAUAAGAUUAAAUGGAAAAUUGACACCCAAAAUUCACUGCUUCAAUAUUAGGGAAGAAUGGUAAAAUAAAUUGCCACAUUGGUCCAUUUAUGAGGUCCUUUAGCGGGUUUACAAGCUUUCCCCUUGAAUUGGUCUGGGGCCCGAGGGGCAACCAUGUUUCAUGGAGGAGGGAGAGGACUGCACCUUUGUGUUACCAUUUGGAAAAAAAAAAAAAAUAUUAUUAUUUAUUUGAGAUUUUAAAAGCGUUCAAAAGGUGCUUACAAUGUGGCAAUGGGGUCCUUAUGAAAGGAACACGGUCUCUUACCCAACGGUCUGAAAUUUGUACCACGUAGUUGUGGCCUGGAAUGUUCGUGCGUCCCAUUUUUGGCACGAGCAUUCAGUGGCACUUUUCGCCAUGAUGGAGCAAACUGUUGACUGUUGAUCUGUACGAACGAAACUUCCGUCACCGAAAAAACUCAAUUAGGAUGGCUACGAAUAUAGAUGAAUCGAAUUAAUUAAACAAUUUUCAAUGUGGAAAAUUAAACAAACAAAUGAGAGAAUAAAAAACAAAAAUAAAAAAAAAAAUCAAAUUUUAUGUGUGUUCGACACUGUAUUAGGUACAGACUGUCAAACAAGUAAAGGUUCCACUAACAAACCAACGAUUGCCCCGAAGAAGAAGAGCCAAAGGAAAGAGAAAUGUUUGUUGAAAAACUCCUCUCCAAAGCCUCACCAAUAUCAACUAGCAAUUUUCCCCGACCCUAGGUAGACAACUCAAAACAAAAAACUCUCUCUCACAUAAAAAGAUUAAAGACUAACCAAAGUCCCCAAUUGGGGGGUCCAAGGGAAACUAAAAAAAAUUUCUUCAAAAACUUGAAGGUCAUCCAAGUCCCCAUAAAGAUCUUUCAAAGGAACUAGAAAUUUACCAAAGAUUAGAGAAUCUUCCAAAUUUAUAACCAAAAAAUCCUUCGUUAAAAACAAACAAUACCAAAAGUGUUUCUUACCAAACAAGCUCCUAAAACCAAUAAAGAAUUACAAAAAAAUAGAGUUUAGAAAUUCUAAAACGAGUUUAAUUAUUCAAAUCUUACCAAUCAAAACCAAUCUAAUUGUCAAUAUCUAAGUGUGAAGCUGAAAAGGCAAAAUUAUCUUACUUGUCUGAUUCUAAAUUAACAGAUGGUACCUUCUCUAGAUCAAAAUUGAAUUAUUGCUUUUGGGGUUUUCGCAAAACUGAGGAAAUUUUGUUCUAGUGGUUCUUUGUUUUUUUUUGGGACUUUACGUUCGAUUGAUAUUGAUAAUAUUUUCAUUGUGGUUUAGUGGUUUCUCUUAAUGGAGUAUAAAAUAAAAUUAUCGAUUUUAUUUUAUACACAUUUUUUUUUAAGAUACAUGUUUUUCUUUCUUUCAAGUACCAUUUUUUCUUUCUUCACUCGAUGCUUUUAUCGAUUUCGACGAGAAGUUACAAACAUUGCAUACAUUACUUUUUAGGCAACAUUUUUUAUGAAGUGUUAAUUUCGUUAGAAAGGAAAAGCUACUGAGCUGUAGUAGUUGUAUUUUUUAAUAUAUUGUAAUCAGAUGUUGCUAAAUAAAUGAUGCUUUAAAAUGUUUUGAGACAAAUGGUAUAUGAGAAGUUUUUAUCCGGAAAGAUUAGGUACGGAAAAAUCUAUUACUUUCUUGUAGUGAUUUCUUUUCUUUUUUAAGCAUUAUGUAGGGCUCCAUUUAAGAGUUCACUUAGGUCUCCAAAAACUUAGGACUUGCUCUCGAUUCAAUUCAUGUCUAAGUUAGUAAAUAAAGAGAUUACAUACACUGUUGGUUCACUGUAGAAACAAAUUGAAAAGUUUUCAUUUGUUCUGCACGAUCACUAUAUUUCAGGAGACAAACGUCUAAAAUAGUAAACACCUUAACGAUGGAAAAUUCUGUCUUUAAGGACAUAGUGCUAAACACUAGCCUUUGAUUAGUCUCCUUCGAAUUUCUCACUACAAUUUGUUUUAUACAAGGUAUAUCUUCUUCUGCAAUCAGUUAUUUGUGUUCAAACCACAUAAUCUGUUUCUGAUUUUGUUUCUAAAAGUAAUUGUUGUUUCCAAAAGAGUUUUUGGUUAUGUUUCUACAAAAUCAGAUUUUUUAAACAGUUUAGCUUCUGCAAAUUAAAUCUGUUUCUGUAAUUAUAUAUAUAUAUAUAUAUAUAUAUGUAUAUAUAUUUAUAUAUAUAUAUAUAUACACACACACACACAAAAAAAAAAGAAUUAAAAAGUAAAAGCUAAAAAUAAAAAUAGUAAUUUUCACACUUUUUUUUUCCUUCAAUUACACUCUAUUUUGUGUCUUUAUUUGGUAUAAGAUUAUCAAAAUACCCAAGUAUUUAUAUUUCUAAACUACUUUUCUCAAAAUAUUCUAAUUGCAUAGAAGGACAUUUAAGUAUUUUUGCCAAAUAAAAAAAAAGAAAUGGAAUUAGAGAAAAAAAGAAUGUAAAAAUCAUUACCUAAAUUAAUGAAAACAUGCUAAAAUGAAAAUUUUCUGAUGCCAUCUAUUACUUAAAAAAUAUAAUAUUCCGUUUGGAUAUGUGAAUUUCAAAUGCUAUUUAAUUUUUUUUAAAAGAAGAAUAUUUUAAUUACACGUAUUUCAAUUAACACUUAUAUUGGAAAAAGAGAGAGCGGAGUGAGAUGUGUGAAUUUGUCAAAUUACACUAAUUUUGAGUUAUUUAAAAUUCUUUUCAUUUACUAUUGAAAUUCAAAGGGUAAUUUUUCUCAAUCUUAAAUUUUUUUGCUCUAUUCGCCAUCAAAACAUAAUUUUUGCUCUAUUCACCAUCGAAACAUACUCGACGAAUUUGGAAGGAAAAUUUCAAAUUUUUUAUUUUUAAAGGGAAUCUAAGAUCCAUGAAGAAUGACUCAACGCGGAAUUGCUCUAGAAUGGUCCCCAUCAUAGAAGAGUGCACAUCAACCAAGUAAUCAAUUUCAUAUUUUUUAUUUUAUUUUACGGUUACUAUCAGUUUGGUUAUAAAUAGGGAAUCCCAAAAUCUUGUUAUUGUAUGACUAAGAGAAAAAUGGGUUCCAGGAAGUUGCUUGUUUUGGAGAUAUUUCUCUCGACUCUUAUACUUCUCUAUUCUUUUGAAGUGGCUGCAAGGGAACUUUCUUUUGGAGACGUCACACGUAAGUUUCAAUCUGGAUUCUUUCUUUUGGCAACUGCUUUGGGUCGGUUGGUCGGUCGUAUUAGAGUCUCUGGAAGUCAGUUAAGUAUAAAAAAAAAAAAAACUCAAAUUUGUUUUUAAUGGUUUAUAUUACAAACAUUGUGGCAAGAUAUUAUUCGCCUAACAUGCCAAGCAAGAAGCCCAUCAUAUCCAACAUGAUAUUAUACGAACUAGGCUUCUUUACGGAUCAUUUUUGGACUGUAAUUUAAGUAUUUUGAGUUAUUUCAAUGAUUCAAACCGUUUAUAUGUAAACCUCCUACAAAAUAUUAAUUCUGUAAAAAAUUAUUUUGAUUGGAUUCAAAUCAAUAGUUAAAUUUAUUUAAUCAAAAUAAGUGAACUCAAAAUUGAACCCCAAAUUUUGAACUGAACCUAUUUAUAAUAUGAACAAUUUGUAUCAUUAAAAUGAACUCAAAAUAAAAUCCGAAAUGCUUGAGUUGCAUCCGUACAACUUUAGAGAAGCCAGAUCUAUAUUAUAUAUACGAACAUAGGAACUUGAUAUAGUACUUUUUGGAAAGAGUUUUGGUGGAGACAAUGUAUAAUGGAUGAAAAAUGCAAAUUCAUAUGUGGUGGUACCUGCGUUUUUAUUGGCUCAUUACCAAUGCAUUAUACAAAAUGCAUUUCUUUUUCUUUUUUUUUUUGAAAAUCAUGACCAAUGUUCUCUUCUACUUUUUAUAUUUUGUGUUUCGUUGGCAACCAAAGAUCAAAAUUUCAUUUCGAGGGUUUGUUUCUGUUGGCAACGAAAACGUUUUGACUGUUUCGAUGGAAACAAAAUGAAUUUUUGUUCCUUGUUGGCAACUAAAAAUGGUUAUAUGUUUACAACACAUGAGAGAAAUGUUUCGACUGUUUCAAUGGAAAACAAACGAAAUUGUAUCCUGAUGACAACUAAAAAGGUUAUAUAUAUUUAUAACACAUGAGAGAAUACUGUGCAUGUUUGGUAAAACUUAAACAAGGCACGCCUCUUAGAUUUUGUUAAAAGAUUUUUGAAAAAGCAACCCUUGGAGUAUUUCUGAAAAUAUGCUUAAUUCCCCCCUCAGAAGCAAAAAACAAAAGCAUUGUUAAGUAAAUUUUUAAAGGUUUUUCCAACAUUCACGUACAAAUUUUUUCUAGAUUAAAAUUGACAAAAAGCUUCUAGAAAUUUUUUCAAACAUGCUAACUAUAUUCUAAAAAGUGUGAAAUAUAAUAUAUCACCCAAUUUACACUCUCAUAGUAUAUCAUAUCCCCACCGGCAAACAUGGUUACCUCUCAAUAUUCAUUCAAUGGCUAAGAUUAAUCCUUUUUUCCUUAUCCCAAGCCAUAUCCUAAGUUCUUAACCCAAACAAAUAUAGUAUAUAUAAUUUUACUUUUUAUUUAUCAUUUAUUUUAUUGCAUUACAUACAUAGUUAUCAGAACUGAACCGGCGAUUGAACUAAUUAAGGCAUUGGUUCAAUGAUUUACUGAUUCAACCGUGAUUCAACCGGUUAUAUAAUAAAUAAAUAUUUAAAUAAAAAUAAUUAUUAAAAAAUUAUAA